rnacentral:lncRNA from 1 species
CCUGGCCUGUGGAGAGUAAACCCACCCACCCACACAGUGUGAAAUCCACAUCCCCUGUGCAGUGAGGUCACAGGAGACGAAAGCAGGAUUGUGCAGUCAGAGGGAUGGAGGACAGGAGGCACUUGCCUCCAGAUGGAGGUGGCAAUGCCAAGCGCUCCGCCUCAGCAGAGUGCGACACAGAGGAUAGAGUGGUCAGGAAGGAGCAGGGUGACCCUGAGACCUCGACACAAAUGCGUGUGAGAAAAGAUGAUCUCUGUGAUGUCCCUCGCAAGGUGCCUCGUUUCCAGUAUGUGGAUUUCCCUUCUCUGCACCAGUGCAUCCAACAGCUUUCUGUGCCUCCGCUCAAUGGUUGGCUGGGAUCCUGCUCGUUGACAAAGGCACCAGACUACAGGCCCACCAGUCCUAAGGAAAAGGUUCCCAAGUUUAAAUAUGUGGACUACCCAUCUCUCCACCACUGCAUUCAGCAGCUGUCUGUGCCCCCUUUAGAAAGCUGGAGUGCAGGGCUCGUCAGGUUUAAUGCAGAGGGGAAACAAGAUGACUCUGGGACUGUGAAGAAUAACCUAAGGAACGAGGCAAGAGAUCAAAACAACGAGAACAGGAAUAGAGUUACAGCAUUUUCUUUCCCAAGAGACACACACACCUCAGUCUCAGUUUGCGGAUCUAGAUCAGAAUCUGGUUCUGGAUCUGAUAGCGACGCAACAUUGGGGAGAAACAACAGACCAUCGGUUAUUAACAUGGUGUACACAGAUAAGCAGAAGCGCUGGACAAAGGCAGGUCACCUGGAAGAACAGCUGAACUCUCCUGAUUCAGUCAGACGGGUACCGUGGAAUACCCUCCCAGAGUCAGUCUGCCCAUUCUGCCAACAGAUGUUCACAAACCCUGAGCAGUUCAGGGCUCAUCAGCGGAGCCAUAGAGAUAAGAGACCAAACUGA